GCAUGGGUGGUUCAGUGGUAGAAUUCUUGCCUGCCACGCUGGAGGCCUGGGUUUGAUUCCGGGCCCAUGCA